UACGUAGGGUGCGAGCGUUAAUCGGAAUUACUGGGCGUAAAGCGUGCGCAGGCGGUUCGUGAUGCUGAUGUGAAAGCCCCGGGCUCAACCUGGGAACCGCAUUGGAAACUAGCGGGCUGGAGUGUGGCAGAGGGGGGUGGAAUUCCACGUGUAGCAGUGAAAUGCGUAGAGAUGUGGAGGAACACCGAUGGCGAAGGCAGCCCCCUGGGCUAACACUGACGCUCAUGCACGAAAGCGUGGGGAGCAAACAGG
rnacentral:rRNA from 1 species